AGGUGGUUAUAGCACGAGGGUUCCACCUCUUCCCAUUCCGAACAGAGAAGUUAAGCCUCGUCACGCCGAUGGUACUGCGUAACAGUGGGAGAGUAGGUAGCCGCCGUU
rnacentral:rRNA from 1 species